GUUUGGCACCUCGAUGUCGGCUCAUCGCAUCCUGGGGCUGGAGAAGGUCCCAAGGGUCCGGCUGUUCGCCGGUUAAAGCGGUACGCGAGCUGGGUUCAGAACGUCGUGAGACAGUUCGGUCCUCUAUCCUCUGUGGGCGCAGGAAACUUGACGGAUUCACUCCUUAGUACGAGAGGACCGGGAGUGACAGACCACUGGUGUUCCAGUUAUCGUGUCAACGGUAGCGCUGGGUAGCUAUGUCUGGAAAGGAUAAGCGCUGAAAGCAUCUAAGCGCCAAGCCUAUCCGAAGAUUAGGUUUCCCUAUCAGGGUCCUGGUAGACUACCAGGUUGAUAGGCCAUAAGUGUAAGCGCAGUAAUGCGUUCAGCUCAAUGGUACUAAUUGCCCGACCGGCUUGAUCUUAUG
rnacentral:rRNA from 1 species